rnacentral:sRNA from 13 species
UAAGAGGGCGGAGUGAUGACUCUCUUGUAUAAUGAAAAAUUCCUCUUUGACUGGCCGAUAGCAAUAUCGGCUUUUUUUUA